rnacentral:rRNA from 1 species
UACGGAGGGGGCGAGCGUUAUUCGGAAUUAUUGGGCGUAAAGAGCGUGUAGGCGGCUUUACAGGUCCGUUGUGAAAACUCGAGGCUCAACCUCGAGACGCCGGUGGAAACCGUAAAGCUAGAGUCCGGAAGAGGAGAGUGGAAUUCCUGGUGUAGCGGUGAAAUGCGCAGAUAUCAGGAGGAACACCCGUGGCGAAAGCGGCUCUCUGGGACGGUACUGACGCUGAGACGCGAAAGCGUGGGGAGCAAACAGG